rnacentral:rRNA from 1 species
CCUACGGGAGGCAGCAGUGGGGAAUAUUGGACAAUGGGCGAAAGCCUGAUCCAGCCAUGCCGCGUGUGUGAAGAAGGCCUUUUGGUUGUAAAGCACUUUAAGCGGGGAGGCGUUACCCGCAGAAUAAGCACCGGCUAACUCUGUGCCAGCAGCCGCGGUAAUACAGAGGGUGCGAGCGUUAAUCGGAAUUACUGGGCGUAAAGCGCGCGUAGGCGGCUUGUUAAGUCAAAUGUGAAAUCCCCGAGCUUAACUUGGGCAUUGCAUUCGAUACUGGCAAGCUAGAGUAUGGGAGAGGAAGGUAGAAUUCCAGGUGUAGCGGUGAAAUGCGUAGAGAUCUGGAGGAAUACCGAUGGCGAAGGCAGCCUUCUGGCCUAAACUGACGCUGAGGUGCGAAAGCAUGGGGAGCAAACAGGAUUAGAUACCCUUGUAGUC